AUCAUACUAAUCCAUGGGAGACAGAUAGUUAUAGAAGAGUGUACCUCUAAAUUUUAUGGAUCAUUCUUGGAAGGAGCCAUGCAUAAUUUGUUUACCUUCCACGGGAAGGAGCUUAAUCACAUGAUGUCAUCUGUUUCCAAAGGGCUAAGGUGUAUGAAGGUAGAUCCUGCCAAGUAAGGCAAAGAUAUCAGAAGAUUAAAAUAUUUUGUGAAAAUGGAAGAGCACCUAACUCUGGAGCAUCACUCUGCUUACCACUCUGUAGGCAUAACUGUAUUGGAAUACAGAAACUUCAGAAGAGUAAAGGGACUCAGUGAAUGGCAGAUAUUUUGGAGCAAAGGAGGCCCUAAAAGUUGCAGCCAAACUAGCCCUGGAAAAGGGCCCAGGAAUAAAAUGAAAAAU
rnacentral:lncRNA from 1 species